AAGCAGAGGCAAAUAACUCUGGGCUCUGCAGGAGCCAGCGCACCAGAGGGCCCCUCUCUCCUCCCCACCUGCCCCAUCAGCCUCAACGCAUCUCACCGCCGACUGGGAGAAGUACAAGCUCCAGGAAACAAUCAAGAGAGGCCACUGGUUACUACAGAGAGAAGAAAGGGUCUGGGAGCGGGGAGAGGGAGAAUUACAAUGUGACUCCUCAAGCUAGUCCACUUCCAGCGCAUCUUCUCAACCUUGGCCUGAGCUAAUGAACCUCAGAGAGCAAAGCUGUCUUUUGUUUGUUUGUCAUUUUGAGGUUUUCUGGUUGAUUAAGAUCUACGCCAGCAGGAGGGUAUACAAUCACCAGCAAUUCUUAGCUGGAGGAUCACAGGGCAUUUUCAUCCCCUCCUGACAAAAUGCUGAACUUCUUAUCAGAAUGCUGUCCCAUCCACUUUAGAUGAGAGAAACUGUUAAAAGGAUUUUUUUUUUUCUUUCUCCUUUUCCAUUUGAAUUGUUAUUUUUUUCCUCCUCUUAUCAUUUUCUGCUUUGUUUCACACCCCCUGUAAAUCAAGUUUCUUUUAAAAGAGCAAAAAUUGAAUUCCUAGUUACAGACAAAAACUACAAAUGAAUCUCACUCUGAAUGAGGCCAAAGGAAGAAAAAGAAAUCUCUUAGCGGGUGACACUUGGAGGUUUACUCUUCCUCAUCAAACCCUGGUCUUCCUUUUUCCGUGGAUUGUUUUGUCAGCCCCAACCAAUACCCAACCUGCGUCCUUGAAACCCCUGCCUCCUGCUGGAGAAAGAACUCAGACUUCAGAGCCUCAUUCUUCUGGGGGAACGUAAUUAUCUAAACUGGCAUGGAUCCCGAAUUCAGCUCCUCCAUGAAAAGGAUUUCUUAUGAAAGAUUAAGUGGUAACACAUAUGUCGACAGCGCUCCCAGCCCUGGAGUAAUUCUGUGCAAACAAGAAAAUGGCAACAGUUCCUGUUUCCAAUCUGAAAACUCUCCCUGGGUCUCUUUUGGCCCCAGGUGGCACAGAGCUCUUGAAUUUGUUCAGGUGUUUUGUCUCGGGAGCCAAGAGACAGGUGAGGGGGGAAGAACAGGCUUAUUCACCGUGAGCGUUAAGGGAAUGGGAGCCAGGGAAGCAGCUGGCCAGCAGGCAGCCAUAGGAGGCCGGCUGAUUUAGGGACGCUGCACAGGCCACCAGGCCUGUUUCUUGCAGCCUUUGGCCUUAGCCGGCAUGGCAACACUGCCCUCUGCUGGAGCAGCUCAGUCAUCGCGCCCCGCCCGAGAUUGGAUGGUCAAGGACAAUGCUGGGAACAUGGUGGGGAGAAGAAGGAUUUGACAAGACUGAGACAAGGCCCAAAUGCAGUAACUGGAAUGAAAACACGAUCCAAGCCAUCAUCUCAUUUUCAGUGGAUAACGACUAUCCACAGUUGGAAAAAUAUUUCAAAGGAAGAAAAUGCAAAAUUGCGGCAUAUAUAAUACGCAUUUAUUUCUUCCUAGCCUGAGAAAUGUAUGGAAUUAUUGAAAUGUCUACCACUGUGAUAGCUCAAAUCAGCGACAAUGGCCACAUUUUGUUGCAUCAACAUCCCUGAUGGGAAGCUGGCACCAAUGCCAGGGUAGCAGCUGAUCUGCAUGUCUAUUUACAUAAAUUUGCAUUGGUGUGAUGUUAAAAAAUAAAUGCUGAUAUUAAGGAAAGUGGUUUUCCCCCAGACAAGUCAUCUCAACAGAGCGCAGCCGUGAAAAGCACAGGCUUUGAAAUCGGGCCUGUUUCCUUCUAUUUGUGUGACCUUGAAUGAGUUAUAACCUUGCUGUACUGUUUCCUUAU
ensembl:lncRNA